ensembl:lncRNA
UCUAGAUGAAGUACACCCUUUUACUAUUUCAUCUUUGCUGUAAAUUUGAAAUUAUUUCAAAAUUUAAAAAUAGUUACAAUUAAGGAAGGAAGCACAAGGCUGCACCUUUACUACAGUUUUUUAAUCCAAUUUUCUGUUGAUGGGUGGAGCUGUGUUCUCUCCCUGCUAUUUACCUGGGGCCAAACCCUUACCCUACUGCUCUCCACCCGGGUGCCCUUUCCCAAUAAAAUCUCUUGCUUUGUCAGCACAUGUGUCUCCUCGGACGAUUCAUUUCCGAGUGUUAGACAAGAGCCCAGUUUCGGGCCCUGGAAGGGGUCCCUCUUCCUGCAACAAAUGGCAACUCUGGUGGGACUCUUCUUCGCUGAGACUGACAUCCUGACCACUUGGGAUACUUGGGGGCCAACUUGCCUGCCAAUGGACCAGACCCAGCGGCCGCAACUGGGACCCUUUUGUCCCUGGUCUCCUCCUGACACGGACAACUGGCCAGAGUGCCCCGACUGGUAAUCAGGGCCAGUGGGCCUGUAAGGUUUAUGCCAGGGAGACAGUGGGCAGGAUUGAGAAAUUGGUUCCAGAAGAAAGGGAUAAGCAAGUAAGAGACUAUAUCGAAGAUUUUUGUUUCUGUCAUUCUCGUAAACAGAACCAAAGCUCUUCAGAGAAAUGGCUGAUUCCAGGGCUGGGGUAGAAAAAGUAUAAGGAUCUCAGUUCCUCGACCCUGGACUGAACCUGGACCAUUGCAGUGGAACCCUGGAAUCCCAACCAGUAGGCCUCCAGGGAACUGCAUAGUCUCUUCAUUUUAUACUCAUUAUUUUUCACAGUUGCUAUUCUUCAGGUAUAUAAAUUUCUCUCUAAAAUUUCCUGUAUGUUACCAAGCACGUGGCUGUGUCUGUAUUUAAGCAGCUGAUAUUCUC